rnacentral:rRNA from 1 species
GACGAACGCUGGCGGCGUGCUUAACACAUGCAAGUCGAGCGGUAAGGCUCCUUCGGGAGUACACGAGCGGCGAACGGGUGAGUAACACGUGAGUAAUCUGCCCUUCACUUCGGGAUGACCACCGGAAACGGUGGCUAAUACCGAAUACGACCAGUCUUCGCAUGAGGUGCUGGUGGAAAGUCUUUUCGGUGAAGGAUGUGCUCGCGGCCUAUCAGCUUGUUGGUGGGGUAAUGGCCUACCAAGGCUUCGACGGGUAGCCGGCCUGAGAGGGUGACCGGCCACACUGGGACUGAGACACGGCCCAGACUCCUACGGGAGGCAGCAGUGGGGAAUAUUGGACAAUGGGCGAAAGCCUGAUCCAGCAACGCCGCGUGAGGGAUGACGGCCUUCGGGUUGUAAACCUCUUUCAGUACCGACGAAGCGCCCUGUCGGGUGGUGACGGUAGGUACAGAAGAAGGACCGGCCAACUACGUG